GAAAGAGUUUUAAGAGAAAGAAAAAGUAAAAGAAAAUCGAGGGAGAAGGCUGAAAACGAGCUCUCGGUGAGAGAUGUGGGAUGAGAGGUUAUUGCGCAAGCUAAGUGAUACAGAUCGGCGGGCAUCUCUCGUUGGACCUGAAGGUCGGCUAAUCGGGCCGACAUGAAAGUGAACCGAGAUUGUUAUGUAUAAGAAGUAUAGACAGGCGAAGGUAUGACAGCCAUGGCUGUUAGAAAAAGAGAGGUUACCGUGAAGUGCCAUAUUUCGUUCGGUAAAGGACAAUCGUAAAAAAAAAAGAUAGAGAAUAGCGUCUAAUGGAGGUGACCGCGGCAGUCUUUCUGAUAUUGAAGAUUGCGAUUCAACUACGAUUUAAGUUGCGUGUGUUCCAUCUUUAUAAUUAUAUCGGUUAUUUCGUGUUCGAUAUCGCAACAGUAAACACGGGGUCGUGCGACAUCGUCAUCAACAUCCACGAUAGAUGGGAUGGCUUAUAGAGAGCAACGCACGCUCUGCAACCGCGCGCGAUUAUUGCGCAACCUGGUGCGUUGCGCAUCAACCGAUGGUACGUAAUUUCACGUAGGUGUGCGAGCGUAUACAUAUAUAAGAGGCCGCUCCAAAUCGUUUCUAGUGUUACUGAUCAGCACGUAACUUUCCGCUUAACGAUUCCUUGGGUCACAGUACUCACGCUCUAAGGCAGACGCCUCAACGUGAUCACUUCCCAAUAACCAUCUUUUACCUCUCUCGUCUAAGUUGCUCCGAUUUUGCCUUGGAACGGACCAUCGCGAACAGUUUAGUUCCUUAUUCAGACUUUUACCGAGUCGAUUCGAAAUGAUGUGAACAGAAAUCUCUUUAAUCUUUACCAGAGAAAGAUUUUUGAUUUCUCCACGAACAACAUCGUGAUUAAUCCUCCAUGGUUUGUUGUGCUCUCCAGAUGGAUUUCAUUAUUUUUUUGAUUGAUCUUUUUACGAACAUAGAUCAAUGAUAUUUUUAAUCGUUUUUAUAUAAGUAACUUUUGAAGUUUAUAAUUAGAAAGCUUUCCAUAGACGAUCUUCAUUACUGCAGUAUAGAAACGUUAAUUGAUGUUGCGUUAUUGGUGAGAAACAUGUAUUAGUUAGAAUAUGAUUGCCGUGAGAAUGUGUUCAUCUCUUUGCUUGCCGUGUAAAGCGUGAUAGCGAAAAAAUUCACAAAAAAAACAAUUGUUCAUUUAUUUAAAUUUACAGUAUUCCAAUUGAGAGAUCAAUAUCUAUUUAAAGAUCAAUAUUUCUAAAUUGUAUCCUUCCGAAUACAAUCGCUUUGACAUCGAAUCUAGUUAUAAUACACGUGUAUUGCCCAAAGGGUGAGUGAAAUGCUUUGCGUAAUCGGUCAUACUUUCUUUCUAUGAUGCUUAUAAUAAGUUUGUGAAAGAAAGUUACUGAACUGAUGAGGUAAUCUAUCUCACUCCCCCAACGAGUUAUCUCAGUGUGCUGCUUGCAGUUAUGUAAACUCUUUAAUUUCUAAAAUCGAUUUAUGUGCCUUUCGCAGACUCGCAUUGAUGAUUCGACAAACCGACUUGUACCGAAGCACAAGUAAAAUCAGUUCUAUGGAAAACAAUAAAUUACAUCGGUCUUUCCCAUGCAUUUCUCAUCUCAUUGGUAAACGUUCAGCCUUUGCUCCACUAGCUUCACAAUCUUGAAGGGUAAACGGAAUUAUGUUUCUCAGCUAACAUUGGAAGAGUUAAUCAAUCUCACGGUAAUAAAUUCAAUCCGUGCUAUAUGGAUAUUCUGGAAUCGGAUCAGAUAAAGAAGAUGUCAAGAAUCGAGGAGACAUUGGACAGAAUAUAAAAAUCAGCAUGAUUUGAUGAUCGAUAGGAUCAGUGAGUUGUAAGUCGAUACGAAUUAACUGGUGUAGGGGUGCGGCUCGCGCAAAAAAACGGGGCAAUCGUGAGUCUCGAUAAUAGGAUACUACGAUCGUUCGAGACAAUGUAUAUCUUAGCUUGAGAAGAAUAAACUGAAAAGAAUA